UGUCAUACUUUCAUCGAGUGAUUCCUUCCAAAAAAAUUAUAAAUUAUAAAGAAGAUGUCAGUCAUGAGUAUAAUCAGAAAUUGAUUACUCCCUGUGGAUCACCAAGAAGAUGCGAUUAUGUGUUCUAAGGACAAACGCUACCACAAAAAAUACAAUAGGAAAAAUUUAUGAAUGUGGACGAGAUUUCACAUUAUAAAUGAUUUGCCACAUAAACGGACGAAUAGCACCUCUAAUUUCCUAUAUAUUAGAUUGUUUAAAUAUACGUAUUCCCUUUCUAUGUAGUUAUGCCCUUUCUUUUGUCAUUUCCACUAGUCUCUAAUUGUUGAACAUUUUUAUAGUGCUUUGCAAAUACCAUUAUAAUUCAAAACACACAAAAUGCAGAUAAUGUAGCAUCAUUAUACAUGCAAAAUCUGGCAACAUAAAUUAAAAUAAGUCAUCAAAUCAAACAUGUCAAGAAAAAGCUCAUGACAAACUAUACAGGUCCUCUCAUAUUUCUUCAUUCUUCAUCAGAAGCUUCUUCUAACUGAAACUUCUGAAAAUUUUACAAAAGUCUUUCCACUUAAACCUAUUCAAAGGGACCUUGCAUCAAUUUGCUUUUUCAAUUAACAUGAAGGCAACAUUUUCUUAUUCCUCUACUUGAAAAUGUGCAUAAUUACCAUCACCAUUAUCUCUCAAGGACAACAGUAGAUCAAAUGGGAAAUCAUUUUAAUUCCACUAAAAUUCUACAUCCAUAACGGCAUAAUCCAUAUUGACCAGCUUAAAAUAUCACUUGUAUGAAAGCAUGCAUCUGCUGUCUACCUGCCAAUGACAUUAAUUAAGCAUCAGCUUCUAGAUGUUCAUGUGCAAAAGGUAUUUAUCAGCAACCGCUACAAAAUUGAUGUGAUCUCAAAUGAAACUUAACUUCCUAGAAAUUAAUUGAAUUAUAAUACUUGACCUAAAGAAAAGAUGACAAAACUGAUUAAUCUUGCAAAUAGAAACAAUGGAGAAAGAUAUUACUCACACUAAAAACUAUUGCAUGAGAAGAUAAAAUUGCACUUGCUAAUGAUUAGCAAAGUUGCAAUCACCACAAUCUGAUAAACAAAAUGUGGUAGCACAAUCUCCAAUGAAUAAAAAAAGUUGGUAAUACAAUCUAAGUAAUCAAUCAAAAAAUAGUUAAAAGGAAAAAAAAAUAUUAAAUAUGAAAG
rnacentral:misc_RNA from 1 species